rnacentral:rRNA from 1 species
GUCCACGCUGUAAACGAUGGAUGCUAGGUGUUGGGGGUAUUGACCACUCCAGUGCCGCAGUUAACGCAUUAAGCAUCCCGCCUGGGGAGUACGGCCGCAAGGCUAAAACUCAAAGGAAUUGACGGGGGCCCGCACAAGCGGUGGAGCAUGUGGUUUAAUUCGACGCAACGCGAAGAACCUUACCUGGGUUAAAUCCGCCGAAAUCCCGCAGAGAUGUGGGAGUGCCCUUCGGGGAAUCGGUGAGAAGGUGCUGCAUGGCUGUCGU